rnacentral:rRNA from 1 species
UACGUAGGGUGCGAGCGUUGUCCGGAAUUAUUGGGCGUAAAGAGCUUGUAGGCGGUCUGUCGCGUCUGCUGUGAAAAUCCGGGGCUCAACUCCGGAUCUGCGGUGGGUACGGGCAGACUAGAGUGAUGUAGGGGAGACUGGAAUUCCUGGUGUAGCGGUGAAAUGCGCAGAUAUCAGGAGGAACACCGGUGGCGAAGGCGGUUCUCUGGGCCUGUACUGACGCUGAGGAACGAAAGCGUGGGGAGCGAACAGG